UACGUAGGGUGCAAGCGUUGUCCGGAAUUAUUGGGCGUAAAGAGCGUGUAGGCGGCCCGAUUAGUCCGCUGUGAAAGUCCAGGGCUCAACCCUGGAAUGCCGGUGGAUACUGUCGGGCUAGAGUCCGGAAGGGGCGAGUGGAAUUCCUGGUGUAGCGGUGAAAUGCGCAGAUAUCAGGGAGGGAACACCAACUGGCGAAGGCAGCUCGCUGGGACGUGACUGACGCUGAGACGCGAAAAGCGUGGGGGAGCGAACAGG
rnacentral:rRNA from 1 species